rnacentral:rRNA from 1 species
UACAGAGGUCUCAAGCGUUGUUCGGAUUCAUUGGGCGUAAAGGGUGCGUGAGGUGGCGCCGUAAGUCGGGUGUGAAAUUUCGGAGCUUAACUCCGAAACUGCAUUCGAUACUGCGGUGCUUGAGGACUGGAGAGGAGACUGGAAUUCAUGGUGUAGCAGUGAAAUGCGUAGAGAUCAUGAGGAAGACCAGUGGCGAAGGCGGGUCUCUGGACAGUUCCUGACACUGAGGCACGGAAGGCCCAGGGGAGCAAACGGG